rnacentral:rRNA from 1 species
CCUACGGGUGGCAGCAGUGGGGAAUAUUGCACAAUGGGCGAAACCCUGAUGCAGCAACGCCGCGUGAAGGAUGACGGUUUUCGGAUCGUAAACUUCUAUCAAUAGGGAAGAACGAAAUGACGGUUCCUAAAUAAUAAGCCCCGGCUAACUACGUGCCAGCAGCCGCCGUAAUCCGUAGGGGGCAAGCGUUAUCCGGAAUUACUGGGUGUAAUGGGAGAGUAGGCGGCAAGGUAAGCGAUAUGUGAAAGCCUUAAGCUUAACUUAAGGAUGGCAUAACGAACUAUCUAGCUAGAGUACAGGAGAGGAAAGCGGAAUUCCUAGUGUAGCGGUGAAAUGCGUAGAUAUUAGGAAGAACACCAGUGGCGAAGGCGGCUUUCUGGAAUGAAACUGACGCUGAGGCUCGAAAGCGUGGGGAGCGAACAGGAUUAGAUACCCCUGUAGUC